GGAGAGAUGGCCGAGUCUGGUCGAAGGCGCCGUCUUGGAAGGGCGGUAGCAGGUGUUCCGCCUGCUCGCAGGUUCGAAUCCUGCUCUCUCCG
rnacentral:tRNA from 1 species